rnacentral:rRNA from 1 species
GACGAACGCUGGCGGCGUGCCUAAUACAUGCAAGUAGAACGCACAGUUUAUACCGUAGCUUGCUACACCAUAGACUGUGAGUUGCGAACGGGUGAGUAACGCGUAGGUAACCUGCCUGGUAGCGGGGGAUAACUAUUGGAAACGAUAGCUAAUACCGCAUAAUAUUGAUUAUUGCAUGACAAUUGAUUGAAAGAUGCUAUUGCAUCACUACCAGAUGGACCUGCGUUGUAUUAGCUAGUAGGUGAGGUAACGGCUCACCUAGGCGACGAUACAUAGCCGACCUGAGAGGGUGAUCGGCCACACUGGGACUGAGACACGGCCCAGACUCCUACGGGAGGCAGCAGUAGGGAAUCUUCGGCAAUGGACGAAAGUCUGACCGAGCAACGCCGCGUGAGUGAAGAAGGUUUUCGGAUCGUAAAGCUCUGUUGUAAGAGAAGAACGGGUGUGAGAGUGGAAAGUUCACACUGUGACGGUAUCUUACCAGAAAGGGACGGCUAACUACGUG